AAUUUUACGGUAUUAUUCAUUAUUCUUAUCAUUGUUGGGGUCAGUUCUUUAAGUAUCAAUCUUUUUCAACUAACAUCAAUAAACAAUAGGAGUUUUGAAGAUAUAUUUAUAGUCAUUCUACUCAUUGUUAUACAUAUAAGUUAUAUGUUCAUUGUUAAUUACGGUGGACAGAAAGUAACAGAUCAUGGAAUGGAAGUAUUUAAAGCAACUUAUAGUGGAUUGUGGUAUAUAGCACCAUUACAUACACAGAAAUUAUUAUUAUUUAUAAUGCAAAAAGGAAAUAUAAAUGUUACUAUAAUAUGGGGCCGUUUAUAUAUAGCAUGUUUGGAAGGUUUUGCUUCGCUUACAAAUGCGGCAGUAUCUUAUUUUAUGGUGAUGCAUUCUACACGAUAAUAACGUAGCAGAAAAAAAAUAUAUAUUUAUUAUCAAUCGGGUAAUUUAUUGAAGUGAACAAUCAUGCAACAUAUGUGCAUUGUAAAGUUUUUGAAUAACAUUGUUGAAUAAAUAUGUACAGAAUAUAAAGUUUUACAAGAUGUUUUCUUCGAAAUUUGA